AGCGAACGCUGGCGGCAGGCCUAACACAUGCAAGUCGAACGGACCCUUCGGGGUUAGUGGCGGACGGGUGAGUAACACGUGGGAACGUGCCUUUAGGUUCGGAAUAGCUCCUGGAAACGGGUGGUAAUGCCGAAUGUGCCCUUCGGGGGAAAGAUUUAUCGCCUUUAGAGCGGCCCGCGUCUGAUUAGCUAGUUGGUGAGGUAACGGCUCACCAAGGCGACGAUCAGUAGCUGGUCUGAGAGGAUGACCAGCCACACUGGGACUGAGACACGGCCCAGACUCCUACGGGAAGCAGCAGUGGGGAAUCUUGCGCAAUGGGCGAAAGCCUGACGCAGCCAUGCCGCGUGAAUGAUGAAGGUCUUAGGAUUGUAAAAUUCUUUCACCGGGGACGAUAAUGACGGUACCCGGAGAAGAAGCCCCGGCUAACUUCGUG
rnacentral:rRNA from 1 species